rnacentral:rRNA from 1 species
UGAUAUUUAUAGCACAGUGGACCCACACCAAACCAUCCCGAACUUGGUAGUUAAACUCUGUAGCGACAAGGAUACUGAAGAGGACACUCUUUGGGAAAGUAGUUCAAUAUCAGGACU